UGCUGCAUGGCUGUCGUCGGCUCGUGUCGUGAGAUGUUGGUUAAGUCCCGCAACGAGCGCAACCUUGUCUUUAGUUGCCAUCAUUUAGUUGGGCACUCUAAAGAGACUGCCGGUGUCAAACCGGAGGAAGGUGGGGAUGACGUCAAGUCCUCAUGGCCUUUAUGACCAGGGCUACACACGUACUACAAUGGCCGGUACAAAGGGCAGCCACUUAGCGAUAAGGAGCCAAUCCCGUAAAGCCGGUCUCAGUCCGGAUUGGAGUCUGCAACUCGACUCCAUGAAGUUGGAAUCGCUAGUAAUCGCAGAUCAGCACGCUGCGGUGAAUACGUUCCCGGGCCUU
rnacentral:rRNA from 1 species